ACGGGAGGCAGCAGUAGGGAAUUUUCGUCAAUGGGCGCAAGCCUGAACGAGCAAUGCCGCGUGAACGAGGAAGGUCUUCGGAUCGUAAAGUUCUGUUGAGAGGGAAAAAGGGUCACCAGAGGAAAUGCUGGUGAAGUGAUAUUACCUUUCGAGGAAGUCACGGCUAACUACGUGCCAGCAGCCGCGGUAAUACGUAGGUGGCGAGCGUUAUCCGGAAUGAUUGGGCGUAAAGGGUGCGUAGGCGGCCUGUUAAGUCUGAAGUGAAAGGUACCGGCUCAACCGGUACAGGCUUUGGAAACUGGCAGGCUGGAGGACAGGAGAGGGCGGUGGAACUCCAUGUGUAGCGGUAAAAUGCGUAGAUAUAUGGAAGAACACCAGUGGCGAAGGCGGCCGCCUGGCCUGUUACUGACGCUGAGGCACGAAAGCGUGGGGAGCAAAUAGGAUUAGAUACCCUGGUA
rnacentral:rRNA from 1 species